UUUACUUUUAUUCUCUUUCCAAGCUCGAACUCUCCGAGAAAACCCAUGAACAGAACUUCACCACUUCCAUGUUCACCACCAGAAUAUCAAUAAACAAGAAGUAUUUUUCUCAACAAAAUCAGAAAUCAAUACCUCUCUGAGUGGUUAAUCAACUGUAAAUCAAAAACAUCUGUUAGGGAGAAAGCAGGAUUGGCAGGAUAGGUCUAAAAACAUGAGGAGAGGGAAACAAGAAGCAGACAAUAAUAAGAAUGAUAACUCUCCCAAGCCGAGUUUGCCAGGGUUUAAUGAAAUUCCUAAACAGAUUGAUCCCAGAAUGAAGGAAAAGGAUCACCUUAUGCGGAAGAAGAGGACUUGAAGAAGAAUGUGCUUAAGAUUCCCCCAACAUCAGUUGUUAAAACAACUCGCGGAUCAUUUGCUGCUAUCAUUAUAUGUAUCCGUUUUCGGCAUUUUAGAUUCCAAAUUUCGGGGUGGCAUAGCUUGACGAGAAAACAGGUGAAGAAGGAGGACAUUGAUUUUGAAUAUGAAGAAAAGAAGGAGUUUACUGUGAUGGAUGCAACGGCACAAGUUGUUCUAACAAUGUUGAGAAUAAUACUUUUAGGCAAAAGACUGUGGAAGCUAAUUUAGAACUUAAUCUGAAUGCAUUCCGACCAGAUAUUGCUAGUAGUUCUCAUGGAGUUCUUGACACUAAGAUGUCAUGUCAAUUCCCAAGACAAAUGAGAACUUCCAUCUCCUUUAUGACACCAAGGGUCGUUUCAGACUCCACUCAAUGAAGGAUGAAGAGGCCAAAGUCAGUCUUUCGUUUUGUUGUUUUCACAGCCGUACGGGUUCACGCUUGCAAGGUCCCUAAUGUGCAUUUUGGAACAAAGGGUAUCCCAUAAAUUAACACAUUUGAUGGCCGCACUAUCUGCUACCCAAAUCCCCUUGUCAAGGCCGACGAUACCAUCAGGCAUGAUCUUGAGAGCAACAAGAUUAAUUUCAUCAAAUUUGAGAUUGGCAUCGUUGUCAUGGUCAUUGGACGAAGAAACAGAGACCGUGUUGGUGUCAUUAAGAACAGAGAAAAGCAUAAGGGAAGUUUUGAUACCCUUCACAUCCAGGAUAACACCGAUCAUGAAUUUGCCACCUGUUUGGCAAAUGUCUUCAACAAUGGUAAGGGAUCAAAUCCAUGGGUGACCCUCCCCAAGGGCAAGGGUAUCAAGUUAAUCAUCAUCAAAGAGGCAAGGGAGCGUCUUGCAGCACAAGGAUCCGCUACUUCUUGAGUUUGCUACUGCUUAAGUUUUACUAUGAUGAUAAAAUUCUGAUAGGUUUCAGAUAGUUUAUUAAAGAAUUACUUUGGAUUGCUCUCUUUCCUUAUUGUGUUUUGUUUCAUUGGUUGUCAAUGUAUAGAGAAAGAUUUUGUAACUGCUAUAUUCAGCUUAGACCGCUAUUGUCACCUUAUCCUAAUUCUUUUGGAAUACGGAGAAGUAAAUGUUGUCUUGCAGUAACUAGUAUAAUGAGAUGCUCACUAUCUUCGGUUUACUAGAUAGUGGAUUUCUUCUGGAAUGCGGAAA